GUUCAGAUCAAUGGGAAACAAUCGACAGCCAAACUGUGAAACCUGUGAAAAGUCAAUUUCGCUUAAAGUUUUGGUGUGUAUUCUAUAUCCAAUAUAGAACUAAACAUUUAUUGCUACAAUUUGCAAUUUAAUUAAAACAUUUAUAUUUCCCACCAUAAUACAGUUUGGUGUUGAGACGCUUAUCAGUAUUUUGCACUAUGUAAACAACGGCGCACAUGUUUUGAAACUAGUUUGGUUCUGAUCGCCGACCAGUACGCAUUACUUGUGGUAUAUUUAGUUUUAUUCAAGAUUUCCUGUCGGUAUAGUAUUAAAUCACCGCCCGCAUUGCAGGUUGUAACAACAGUUCUCUUACUCAGUAUAUAAGUUUGUGAUUGACUAAUGUUUUAACGGAAACUCACAGGAGGGCCAUUUAUGCAUCAAAUUGGCAGUAGAAAUGGAACGGAAACUCACAGGAGGGCUAUUUAUACAUCAAAUUGUACGUAUUGUAAUUCUGCAUCAUCUCUAUAACUUAGUUUUGCAAUUUUCUCACGGGAAAGUCAUAAAAAUUGCAUUUUUGUGUUUUGAGACACUGAUUUUUCGUGUUUUAGGGCUGUAGAAAUGGAUCGGAAACUCACAGGAGGGCUAUUGGUACAUCAAAUUGUACGUAUUGUAAUUCUGUAUCAUCUCUAUAACGUAGUUUUGCUAUUUUCUCACGGGAAAGCCAUGAAAAUUGCAUUUUUGUGUUUUAAGACACUGAUUUUUCGUGUUUUAGGGCAGUAGAAAUGGAACGGAAACUCACAGGAGGGCUAUUUAUACAUCAAAUUGUACGUAUUGUAAUUCUGUAUCAUCUCUAUAACUUAGUUUUGCAAUUUUCUCACGGGAAAGCCAUGAAAAUUGCAUUUUUGUGUUUUGAGACACUGAUUUUUCGUGUUUUAGGGCAGUAGAAAUGGAACGGAAACUCACAGGAGGGCUAUUUAUACAUCCAAUUGUACGUAUUGUAAUUCUGCAUCAUCUCUAUAACUUAGUUUUGCAAUUUUCUCACGGGAAAGCCAUAAAAAUUGCAUUUUUGUGUUUUGAGACACUGAUUUUUCGUGUUUUAGGGCUGUAGAAAUGGAUCGGAAACUCACAGGAGGGCUAUUGGUACAUCAAAUUGGUUCUAGAAAUUGAACUGGAUUGCAGAAGGGUCAUUCUUGCAUAAAAUUGCAAGUAUUUUAAUUCUGCAUCAUAAGCUUAUUUUGUGUAGUAUCCAUUUUCAGUUCUAUUGUGAUACCGCGUUUCUUAUGGUUCAGGAGGAGUUCUUGUUUAAACGAACAAUAAAGAUGGUAAAUCAUAUUUGAAGAAAAAUAUUCUAUGAAAUGUUUUGUUAUGUUUUAUUAUCUUAUGUGAGGCCACGGGCCUGCAACCUCGGCACAGAGCGAUAUGACGCGGUGGGUCAGAAUGAUUGUUGCUCUUCUAGUUUUGCUUAGUUCACCUUGCGCUCUCGUGUACACGCGUUUUAUUUUUGCGAAUGUUUACUUGUACGUAUUUUUAAAACUUAUUAAUAAAACACUUAUUACAUUUAUAA